rnacentral:lncRNA from 1 species
CCUGACUAUCCCGUUGCCAAAAGUGUGGCUGCUGGGACUUUCCCAGUUUUAUUUUUAGCCAUUUAAGAUAAUCUGGAAAGAAGCUGAGGAAUGUUAAGGUUUUUUUUCCUGUUUCCAGGAGAACACAAAAUAUGAAGGGAAGGAUCAGGCUCCUGAACGCAUGUAGAAAAGAGCUCCUGGUGUUUGUGUGAUUCACAGUAACGUGGAACAUAGUAACAUAGUGACAUGGGAUACCUGAGCCCUUAUCUAUUGGCACAUAAGUAUUUCUACACAGGUAGGAUGAAGAUUACCAGUUUAGUGAGCCCUCAUCCAGUGACUGAUGGAAGCAGAGGCAAAUAUCCACAGAUAUACACUGAACUGAACUCUGGAACCUAGUUGCAGAGAGGGAGGAAUGGUACCAGGCUGGUGAAACCCACAGAAUCAGCUGGCCUGAACAAGGGGGAGCACAUGGACCACAGACUGCUGUCUGGGAGGCCAGCACAGGUCUGAAUCAGACCCCUGAACAUGGAUGUCAAUGAGGAGGCCUCCACACUCUACUGGUCCCCUGGUAGUGGAUUAGUAUUUUUCCCUGGGAAGGGACUUUGAGAGUCCAUCCCACAUGAAGGAAUGCACUCUUGGCCUGGACACAUGGGGAAGGGCAUAGGCUCGGCCCAGGAUGAUGUGGUGGACUUGAGGAGCCCCGUCGAUGGCCCUACCCUGCUUGGGUAGUUGAGGGUGGAUGGGUUUGGAGGCAGGUACUGGCUUGGUGGGAGGUUGGGGGAGAGGAGGAAGAAGGGAUUGACACGUGAAGCAAGCUUGUUCCUAAUUUGAACUAAAAAAAAAAAUAAAAAAAAUAGUGUCAUAUCAAAAAAAGGACACAUAGUGGGGCUGGAGUGAUGGUGCAAUGGUUAAGAGCACUGGCUAUUCUUCCAGAGGAUCCAGGAUGGAUUUUAAGCACUCACAUGACAGCUAGAAACUGCCCGUUAACUCCAGUUCUAGGGUAUCUGACACCUUCACACAGACAUACAUGCAGGCAAAACACAAAUGCACAUGAGAUAAAAUAAAAUUAUUUUUUUCUCCAUUUUUUUAUUUAAAUUAGAAACAAGAUUGUUUUACAUGUCAAUCCCAGGUCCCUCUCCCUCCCCCUUCCCCUGACCCCACUAACCCCCUACCUAUACCAUACCAUUUCUGCUCCCC